rnacentral:lncRNA from 1 species
AUCAGUCUCAAGGAAAUGAAUAGUCAGAAAAAGAGAUGGGUCAGUUAUGUAGUGAGAGUAAGUGAUAGUAGAUGGACAGCAUAAGAACAACUCUGUUCCCCACAAAAAGUUCAAAAGAUCUAGAAGAGCAUCCCUAGCCUGUGAAGGAUGUAAGAAAGAACAUGGGCAAACACACUACACAGUAAGAGAAAAAAUACUCUUGUCUGUGUCCUCUCUCUGAGCCUCCAUAGAGGCUUGCUGGCCUUUCAGGUAUAUUCUGGCCUGCCCUAGUGAAGCAUAAAUCCAUUCGUUUAUUGCAAUAUUAUUUUCCACAUAAGUAAUUUUUGAUGCUUGAAUUCCCUCCCUCAUCUCUGCUUCCUGGUUUCCUUCAAGAAUUAGUUAAAAUCCUACCUUCUGUCCCUUUUAAUACUAUUCCCUUUCUUUUCUUAUCUCCAAUAUACCCUGUCUAUAUCUUGUUUGUAUGUUAUUUCAUGUUGUCUCAUUAGACUGUGAGCUUCUCAAACACAGGUAUUUUUCUGUUUUGUUGUCUUUGUAUCCCCAACAAUUAGCAUAGUGCCUUAGAUAUAGUAAGUGCUUAAUAAAAUGUUUACUGACUCAUACAAACAACUAGGAGUAAGUAAGCAAGAUUAUGAAUGUGUUUGUAAACCUAGGCUACUAAACCAAUAGCAUACAAUGUUCUCUAAUUAGAUUCAACAAGUAUCUACUGUCCAAAGCAUUGUGCUAAGUAUAAAAGAAUAAUUUAGGUAGCUUUGAGUCAGUGAAGCAGGUGAAAGGUAAGCAGUUAGAAGAAAGAGAAAUAAAAGAAUUAUUAAGUUAUUUGCCUCUGGUAAUUGAAAGGUGACUAGAAAAGAUCCUCUAAUUUCAAGUAUCUCAACUGGCUAAAGAGGAUGGAUCUCUCCUCACUAUAGAGAAGAGCAAGAAUCAUGAAAAGGGAAUGAAGAGGGACCAGAAAAAUCAUAACUAAUUAGACAGAAGAGAUAGUAAGCAGAAAAGUAGAAUAGAGGAAUAGAGAAGGGAAAGAAUGGAAGGAAGCAUGUAUCUCCAUUAGUGAGGAAUUCUUUAGGAUAGAAAAGAGAAGAAGAGAAAUAAAUACUAAGGCAUAUUGGGCAAAGGAAUGGACAACAGAAUGUUAUGAAAUUAUAGCAAAUGAAAAUUAAAUCUAAUCCAGUUAUAGAAAGGGAAAGGAGAAGACAUGAAAUCCUAAGGACUCUUUUCCUUUAGAAAAACUUAUAGCAAAACCUUGGCAUACUGAACAUUGGAGUUGGAGGAGAUACGAGACCCCAUUUAAUUAAACCUGCUCAUUUUAAAUAUGAGAAAACUGAAACUCAUGGAGUAGAAACUAACUUAAGGUUACCCAAC